UUGAACGCUGGCGGCAGGCCUCACACAUGCCAGUCGAGCGGAUGAAGGGAGCUUGCUCCUGGAUUCAGCGGCGGACGGGUGAGUAAUGCCUAGGAAUCUGCCUGGUAGUGGGGGAUAACGUCCGGAAACGGGCGCUAAUACCGCAUACGUCCUGAGGGAGGAAGUGGGGGAUCUUCGGACCUCACGCUAUCAGAUGAGCCUAGGUCGGAUUAGCUAGUUGGUGGGGUAAAGGCCUACCAAGGCGACGAUCCGUAACUGGUCUGAGAGGAUGAUCAGUCACACUGGAACUGAGACACGGUCCAGACUCCUACGGGAGGCAGCAGUGGGGAAUAUUGGACAAUGGGCGAAAGCCUGAUCCAGCCAUGCCGCGUGUGUGAAGAAGGUCUUCGGAUUGUAAAGCACUUUAAGUUGGGAGGAAGGGCAGUAAGUUAAUACCUUGCUGUUUUGACGUUACCAACAGAAUAAGCACCGGCUAACUUCGUG
rnacentral:rRNA from 1 species